UGGGAGGGCUGGUGGAGGGUGGCUGCCUCUCGCACGCUGGUGUCCAGGUUUGAGGUUGUUUCUGAGCCUAGAGUCACAAUGCAAGUGUGUAACCAUGCCCACCUCCAGCCCUACACACGCUUCCAAAAGUCCCAGGUUUGGGCCCCGACGACGGAAAUAAUACAACUGAAUAGAGCAACAUACUAGAAAGACAGCAGGAGGGGAAUUUUUUUAAAGUAUACAAACUCAAAGAGAAAUUCAAAUGAAACAACUCAAUGGAUUCUGCAAACCAGCUUUCCCACAUUUCAAAAUGAUUAUAAAAGGCAUGUCUAAUCAGCUGCUUCCCAUGCAAUUCAGGAAGCCCUUAGCAUGGAAAGAGACAGAAAACCAUUCAAUCAGCAAUGCCCCAGUCAAUGAACAGUAUGUUCCUCUGCUAUCAUGCCUGUAGUGACCGCCCAUGGUUAAAAGGAACAGACCAGGUUCCAGAGAGCUACCGGGAUGAACACCUCCAGCAUCCCAGGGUGGAGCCCUUUCUGCAGCUGAGGCAUGCGGGAUCAAUGCUGCUAAAGAAAACAGAUACCAAGUGAACAGAAGAGUGGAAGCCUCAGGAAUGGGUGCAGAGGAGCUGUUUUCUGCAUACACAUUUUCAGAAAUACUGAGGACAGAAGCCCAGGGAUUCCUGGGUGGUGGAAACAGGCCUGCCAUACACUCAGAGCUCUGCAAAAAGCCAGGCUGGGAGGGACAGGAACCUGUAAAAGGUUUUGAUGCUUAAAAGAAUACUGAGUGCUUCCCCCCCUCCCUUGUUAAGGAGUUUCAUUGGGGACUGAGCACCGCUGCCUGGACUGUCUGUGAUAAAGCCAGAAAAGGAGCAAACUGAAAUGAGUCACUCCAGGUUUUACAAAAGAAACAGCAGUGUUUGGGCCCUAUAUGAUGAAUGGAAUAAGUUGCAUUUGCUUAUGUUCUUUUGGGAGGAAAAGCAUACAGGGAAUGACUGAUAAGUUUUCCUUAAUGACUACAAAAUACAAACUACUUGCAUAUCUUGUCCAACAUGUUUAUCCAGGGAAUCAUAACUUGCUAUUUUUAAUGCAAAGCUUAAAAACCCUAGAAACUAAUUAUAGAGUACAUUUUACCUCCCUUUAAUCUUAAAUGUAAUUCUUCACUUUGUGAGUGUUUUUGCCUGCAUGUAUGCAUACUUGGUGCCCAAGGAGAUUAAAAGAGGCCAUCAGAUCCCCUGGAACUAGAGUUACAGAUGGUUGUGAGCUCCCACAUUGGGUCUGGGAGUCAAACCCAGGCCCAAUAGAAGAGUACCCAGUGCUCUUACCUGAUAAGCCAUUUCUCCAGCCUUUUGAGCCAGGCAGUGGUGGUGCAUGCCUUUAAUCCCAGCACUCAGGAGGCAGAGGCAGACAGAUCCCUGUGAGUUUGAGGCCAGCCUGAUCUACAAAGUGAGUUCCAGGACAGCUCAGACUGUUACACAGAGAAACCUUGUCUCAAAAUAACAACAAAAUGGUCUAUUACUGGGUUUUCACUACACAGAUCAUAUGUGUGCAAACUCCAUGGCUUAUAUUUUGCUUUCAUUUAUUUGCUGUGUAUAGAUACAGCCUCAUCUUUUCUAUUUCUAGGAGGGAGUAGUCAAUACUAUGGAUCUGUACACCUCCAUUUCUUGGCAACUGCAAUACAGAGAGCCCCCAAAGGCACCACCAUUUAAGAAGAAUGACCAACAAAUGCUACUCAAUAAAGCAACAUGGCUGGCUAGCUCGACACAUAAUAUUAAUUACACAAUAGCCAACCAGGAAAUGUUACUUUCCCAUCAAAAUUGCAUUCUCUGUAUUAUUGAAGUCUCUAUGGUCUUAAGUACUCAACUCACUGCUCAACCACUGAUUGAAAACUAGAGUCCUCAUUUAAGCAUGUUGUUUAAAGAUCCAGGAGAUCUUGUGUGAAUAAAAUAAAGCCAAUCAAUAAUGACA